rnacentral:rRNA from 1 species
UACGUAGGGUGCAAGCGUUGUCCGGAAUUAUUGGGCGUAAAGAGCUCGUAGGCGGUCUGUCGCGUCGGAUGUGAAAACUCGGGGCUCAACCCCGAGCCUGCAUUCGAUACGGGCAGACUAGAGUUCGGUAGGGGAGACUGGAAUUCCUGGUGUAGCGGUGAAAUGCGCAGAUAUCGGGAGGAACACCGGUGGCGAAGGCGGUUCUCUGGGCCUGACCUGACGCUGAGGAGCGAAAGCGUGGGGAGCGAACAGG